CUUUGACCUUCAGACUGGUGGAAAUGGGUACGAGGGCUGUCCUGUUUCCAUUUUCCAUUUGUAAACCCGCUUUCUGAUGAACAGAGUGUUGUGACAGAUUUUACUGGACACGCACGGCUGACCUAGCAGUGUUAGUUUACAAUUCAUCCUGAGCAAAAUUAAAAUAUCCGAGGGGUCAGUGGAUGUGAUUUAAUCCUAGAAAGUUGAGAUUUUUAAGACUGAACCUGGAAUUUCCACAGGGGGGUGGUCGAGAGCCGUGGGAAUGCCGCAGGCUGGUGAUUUGAGGGCUGAUGAACAUUACCUGUGGGCCACACUGGUCUCAAGACCCACUAGGGGAUGGGUGGAUAAAGGAGGUGUGAUGACAAAGGAAGACGAUAGAUGACCAGGCCUGGGACACUGGUUCGAGGAUGAAUUUCUGUGUGGAGUUUGCAUGUUCUCCAUGUGUCCACGUGGGUUUCCUCCGGGUGCUCCGGUUUCCCCCACAGUCCAAAGACAAGCGGUAUAGAUUAAUUGAAUAAACUAAAAUGGCCAUAGUGAAUGAAUGUGUGUGAAUGAGAGAGUGUAUAGGGAUUUCCCAGUGCUUGUAAAGGCGCUGCCUAAAACAUGUAAAUGGUAGUUCAUUCCACUGUGGCAACCCCUGAUGGAUCAAGGAAUAAUCCCGA